GCUUGCUGGGUGGAUUAGUGGCGAACGGGUGAGUAACACGUGAGUAACCUGCCCCUGACUUCGGGAUAAGCGCUGGAAACGGCGUCUAAUACCGGAUAUGAGCUUCCCUCGCAUGGGGGUUGUUGGAAAGUUUUUCGGUUGGGGAUGGGCUCGCGGCCUAUCAGCUUGUUGGUGGGGUGAUGGCCUACCAAGGCGACGACGGGUAGCCGGCCUGAGAGGGCGACCGGCCACACUGGGACUGAGACACGGCCCAGACUCCUACGGGAGGCAGCAGUGGGGAAUAUUGCACAAUGGGCGCAAGCCUGAUGCAGCGACGCCGCGUGAGGGAUGACGGCCUUCGGGUUGUAAACCUCUUUCAGCAGGGAAGAAGCGCAAGUGACGGUACCUGCAGAAGAAGCGCCGGCUAACUACGUGCCAGCAGCCGCGGUAAUACGUAGGGCGCAAGCGUUGUCCGGAAUUAUUGGGCGUAAAGAGCUCGUAGGCGGUCUGUCGCGUCUGGUGUGAAAACUCGAGGCUCAACCUCGAGCUUGCAUCGGGUACGGGCAGACUAGAGUGCGGUAGGGGAGACUGGAAUUCCUGGUGUAGCGGUGGAAUGCGCAGAUAUCAGGAGGAACACCGAUGGCGAAGGCAGGUCUCUGGGCCGCAACUGACGCUGAGGAGCGAAAGCAUGGGGAGCGAACAGGAUUAGAUACCCUGGUAGUCCAUGCCGUAAACGUUGGGCACUAGGUGUGGGGCU
rnacentral:rRNA from 1 species